ACAUCCGUAUAUCUAUCUUUCUUCUUAAAUUCAUAUAGUAGCAAAGAAAUUUCAGCUAUAUGUACUAAAGCCAUAGUAAUAGUUGGGUAAUAUGCGCCAGAAAACACAACAGUAGCAGUAUAAAAUUUAUGUAUAAAUUUAACAACAUCACUAAUGACCUCCCAAGUAUCAUUUGUUAACAUACGCCUAGGAUCAGUACAAUGUGCAUUAGCAANNN
rnacentral:lncRNA from 1 species